GUUUCCCAUUCUGUCUCCUCGUAGGUGGGCACGUGGCCCCUCCCACCCCGAGGAGGCCCCCUUUCCUUCCGACCCUCCCAGAUGACACUGAGGUGGAGCCUGCCUGUCUUUGGAGUGAGACGUAAAGCAAAUAAUCGUCAAACCUGAGAGACUGAAAAUGCUAUACCUCUGACUCAGAGGCCCUGCCAACGAGUCGUUUGUUUACAGGAAGAAGUCUCAGAAAACUCAAGAUUGGGAAGGUGAAGGCCAAGAAAGUAUUUGCUCUGAAAUGACUGGGAAACGACGUGUGUUCCAACGGGACCCACUGAAUUCAAAACACUAGAGUUACUGUGAAGCUCAAGAGCAGAAGCGCAGACAGACUUAGGCUCAAAUCUCAUGUCUUCUGGUUAGUAGCUGAGUGACCUUGGCAAAUUACAUCUGAGCCUCAGUUUCUUCAUCUGUUAAAUAGGGACAAUAAAACAUUUCUAAUCAAGUUGCCUGAAAACGAUGAAAAGAGAUAAUACAUGGAAAGCAGUUAGUACAAUGCCUGGCACAUUUAGUUAGUGCUCAAUAAAUAGAAACUAUUUUUACUAUUACUCCAUGUAAAGUCUCCUAGAGAACCAUUGGUAUCCGAGGCUUACCAUUAGUAGCAGAAUAUGAUGAGGAAGGCUGAAAAAAGUUGACUUGAUCCGAUUAUGUAGGUAUGAGCUAUAUGCUUGCAAUAUUACUUCUGUUUCUCUAUUAGAAUACCUUGGGUCUAUACAGCUAAACCCCAAACUAUUAGAUGCCAGAAAUAUCAAAUGGGGAGCUCAAUCAUGACCUGUUCAUGAGACUGUGCCACUAUGAAAAAUUUUUACUAUCAUGCUGAGAAACACAGCAGGUCCAGUCUUUCUUUUCUAUUGGCUGUGAAAGCUAAGCACUCAUUCAUGAAUUAUUUCAACAAUUACUUAUUAGACCCCUCUUUGUGACAAGACCUGUUCUAGGCAUUUGGAAUAUUCACGUCAGUUAACAAAACAGACAAAGAUCUCUGCCCUUAUGGAACAUAUAUUCAUUCAUUCAUUCUAGUAUAUGGGAACUGCCACACUAGGAGUUAAAGAAAGGGAAAGGGCAAAGUUACAAAGAUGAAUGAGACACACUGUCUGAUAAGCUCCGUCAGAUAGAGGAGAGAGUGAUGGAGCAGAUCUGUAAAUAAUUACUGGAUAACAAUGUAGUAAGUUCACUAGUAGAGUAUUAGCAGAGACCACUGUGGACAGACAUAGAAGAAGGAUCAAAAUACUCUGCAAGCAAGAGUGUGGGUACAGAGACUAAGGAGGUGGCAAGAGAUGAAGACAUUUGGGAUGAUUUUAAAGGGUACGUGGGAAUUUGUCAUUGGGUAAGAUGGCGAAAGGCCAUCAGGCAAAGCGAACAUCUGCUGGUUUCUGUCAAUGAGGGAAGCAUUUGGUAGAAUGUAAGUUUAAAAGAAAGUAUAAUGUAUAAACUAAAGUAGCUUAUUUCAGAAACUCAACUGUUAUCAGUCAUGGAAUAAUUAAACUCUGGUUUUUGCUUUGUUUUAAAACUAGGACUAAGUAGAAAACAGCUUUUAUUUUACCCUAAGUUUUCCCAUCAGAUGAGAACAGCUGUCAGCUCAGGCUUGAGUUUGAUUUCUGAUGCUCUGCUUACCCAGAGGAGAGUUUAUGAAAUUAUGGUCCAUGUGCUACCAAUAUAGUCCAUAAAUUUCCUGUAGGAUAAUGAGUUUGGGUAGUUUUUUUUUUUUUUUUUUGCGGUACGUGGGCCUCUCACUGUUGUGGCCUCUCCCGUUGCGGAGCACA